rnacentral:lncRNA from 1 species
AAAUUGAUAAAAGGGCAAGAGUUGCUCUGUGGCCAUAGGCAUCUAUCCUUUGUGAUUAUCAUUUAGAUUUAGUUCUUAAAGAUAGUCUCUAUCAUUUGCAUGGUGAUGCAUCUGUAAACUUAAUUGAGCAAACAGUGAAUGCUAUUGAAUCUGAGAGAUCCAGAGUUGAGAUAAACCUUAAGUAUAUGUGGAAUCUUAGGCU